rnacentral:rRNA from 1 species
UGCGUAGGCGGCUUUUUAAGUUUGGUGUGAAAUCUCCCGGCUCAACCGGGAGGGUGCGCCGAAUACUGAGAGGCUAGAGUGUCGGAGAGGUAAGUGGAAUUCCUGGUGUAGCGGUGAAAUGCGUAGAUAUCAGGAGGACACCGGUGGUGUAAACGGCUUACUGGACGAUAACUGACGCUGAUGCACGAAAGCGUGGGUAGCAAACAGGAUUAGAUACCCUGGUAGUCCACGCCCUAAACGAUGCAUAUUUGGUGUGGGCCAUUCAUUUGGUCUGUGCCGGAGCUAACGCGUUAAAUAUGCCGCCUGGGGAGUACAGUCGCAAGGCUGAA